UACGGCAGCUUUAGGGAGGUGCUCUGAGACCCGAAACUAGACUCGACUUUAACAGACACAGACGACCCUGAAGAUGGAAAUGUUUUCUUCCAAAUUGUGCUGCACGUUUUUGGCGAGAGCAUGGGGCUGUGCGGCGUCCCCUCCCUGGCGCCCACCUGUGCCCUGCACACUGGCCUGCACUGUGGUGAUCUCGCUUGGCCCCCACCUGAUUCCCGACAUACAGCAGAGGAAGCUUAGGCUCAGGUGGAACAGCCUCAACUGAUUCUGUCCCUGAACUUCCGUACACAGCCCUGGAGUCGUCUUAGAGCCAUGAUUUAUUUAACUGUUCUUUCAUUUUACAGAACAUAAAAUGUAUUGUUUCCAACUUUUUUCCUAUGGUAAAUAAUACUAAAGUAAAUAUCUCUGUGCAUGAAUCUUUUUGUAUAUGUUGGAAUAUCCUUAAGAUAAGGCCCCAGAACUAAAAGUACCCUGUCAAAAGGUGAGCAUUUCCGGUUCCCCUGCUGUGCUUUGCUGCGUUGUUCUCUCCUGCUGCAACGUUCUCACUCCACAAUCCUGGGGCAGGGAGGGGAGGCCCAGCUGAGUUUGGAUCAUAAUCCUGAAAGACACA
ensembl:lncRNA novel transcript